rnacentral:rRNA from 1 species
CCUACGGGAGGCAGCAGUGGGGAAUAUUGGACAAUGGACGAAAGCCUGAUCCAGCCAUGCCGCGUGUGUGAAGAAGGCCUUCGGGUUGUAAAGCACUUUCAGUGGGGAAGAAAGCCUUGGGGCUAAUACCCUCGAGGAAGGACAUCACCCACAGAAGAAGCACCGGCUAACUCCGUGCCAGCAGCCGCGGUAAUACGGAGGGUGCGAGCGUUAAUCGGAAUUACUGGGCGUAAAGCGCGCGUAGGCGGUCUGAUAAGCCGGUUGUGAAAGCCCCGGGCUCAACCUGGGAACGGCAUCCGGAACUGUCAGGCUAGAGUGCAGGAGAGGAAGGUAGAAUUCCCGGUGUAGCGGUGAAAUGCGUAGAGAUCGGGAGGAAUACCAGUGGCGAAGGCGGCCUUCUGGACUGACACUGACGCUGAGGUGCGAAAGCGUGGGUAGCAAACAGGAUUAGAUACCCGAGUAGUC